AUUGAACGCUGGCGGAAUGCUUUACACAUGCAAGUCGAACGGCAGCACGGGUGCUUGCACCUGGUGGCGAGUGGCGAACGGGUGAGUAAUAUAUCGGAACGUAUCCAAUAAUGGGGGAUAACUAGCCGAAAGGUUAGCUAAUACCGCAUACGCCCUGAGGGGGAAAGCUGGGGAUCGUAAGACCUAGCGUUGAUGGAGCGGCCGAUAUCUGAUUAGCUAGUUGGUGGGGUAAGAGCCUACCAAGGCGACGAUCAGUAGCUGGUCUGAGAGGACGACCAGCCACACUGGAACUGAGACACGGUCCAGACUCCUACGGGAGGCAGCAGUGGGGAAUUUUGGACAAUGGGGGCAACCCUGAUCCAGCCAUGCCGCGUGUGUGAAGAAGGCCUUCGGGUUGUAAAGCUCUUUUGUCAGGGAAGAAACACCGGCUCUAACACAGUCCGGGAAUGACGGUACCUGAAGAAUAAGCACCGGCUAACUACGUGCCAGCAGCCGCGGUAA
rnacentral:rRNA from 1 species